GACAGAGGGUGCAAACGUUGUUCGGAAUUACUGGGCGUAAAGCGAGUGUAGGCGGUCCGAAAAGUCGGGUGUGAAAGCCCUGGGCUCAACCCAGGAAGUGCACUCGAAACUGCCGGGCUAGAGUACUGGAGAGGUUGGUGGAAUUCUCGGUGUAGAGGUGAAAUUCGUAGAUAUCGAGAGGAACACCGGUGGCGAAGGCGGCUUUCUGGGUCUUACCUGACGCUGAGGAACGAAAGCCAGGGGAGCGAACGGG
rnacentral:rRNA from 1 species